GUCGCUAUCAUUGCACAUAUAGCAUUACAAAACACGAAUGCAUUCGGAUUACAUAGCAUGGUUGCAUACAUGAGGUUAUACAAUAGUUGGCUUAGGUUCUUUCGUCUUGUUGUUGCCUGAUGAGUUGGCUUCUCCUCAGUCUACGCAUCAUUAUAUUGUGCCGACAAGGUUUUCAUUUUGUUGUUUUAAUAACAUGAAAGAACAUAAUAAACAUUUCCCAACGCUUGUGUGGAACCUGUUGGAUAUUUGAACAGAAAACUGGGAGAAAAACUUGGAAAUAGACAGGUGGUGUAUGUGUGGAGAGGUUCCUGGUUCAGAGGUCAUGGUGGUUGCCUGCAUCAGAAGCAGGGGUCAACAUUAGUAUAUAUGGGGUACCCCAGGAUUGGCCCCUUCGGGGUAGGAAUCUGUUCCCGUGUCCGGCCGCACCAGAGGGUCAGGGUUGGGAUUCUUAUUACUGGGUUCGGGGCGAGUACCACCGUCCCUCCCAACUACCGGUCCCCUAAUACCUCCAGUUCGCAGCCACCCACAGUUACCAAAUUUUUUCAUAUGCUUUCACUGUGCCCUUAAUUUGUACAGUCAGGUUGUCCAUAAGUCGUGUGUCUUUGAUUUUAUGGAUUACCUUGUCUAUGGAGGGGAUAUCAGGUUUUAGCCACACUUGUGCCAUGGUUCGCCUGGCAGCCACAGUAAUUUUUUGGAGAAGUUUUUGUUCCCAUCUUGUCCAGUCCUCUAGUGGCCUGGACAGUAGAAAUACCCACGGGUCUCGUUUAACCGGCCUCUGAAAGAUUUUAUCUAGUAAGACGCCUACCACAUAUGUGCAUAAAACCCUCUUUGUCCACAUACUCGCCAACAUCUAUCGUCU